GACGAACGCUGGCGGCGUGCUUAACACAUGCAAGUCGAACGAAGAGCGAUGGAAGCUUGCUUCUAUCAAUCUUAGUGGCGAACGGGUGAGUAACGCGUAAUCAACCUGCCCUUCAGAGGGGGACAACAGUUGGAAACGACUGCUAAUACCGCAUACGAUCUAAUCUUGGCAUCGAGGAUAGAUGAAAGGUGGCCUCUACAUGUAAGCUAUCACUGAAGGAGGGGAUUGCGUCUGAUUAGCUAGUUGGAGGGGUAACGGCCCACCAAGGCGAUGAUCAGUAGCCGGUCUGAGAGGAUGAACGGCCACAUUGGGACUGAGACACGGCCCAGACUCCUACGGGAGGCAGCAGUGGGGAAUCUUCCGCAAUGGACGAAAGUCUGACGGAGCAACGCCGCGUGAGUGAUGACGGCCUUCGGGUUGUAAAGCUCUGUUAAUCGGGACGAAAGGCCUUCUUGCGAAUAGUGAGAAGGAUUGACGGUACCGGAAUAGAAAGCCACGGCUAACUACGUGCCAGCAGCCGCGGUAAUACGUAGGUGGCAAGCGUUGUCCGGAAUUAUUGGGCGUAAAGCGCGCGCAGGCGGAUAGGUCAGUCUGUCUUAAAAGUUCGGGGCUUAACCCCGUGAUGGGAUGGAAACUGCCAAUCUAGAGUAUCGGAGAGGAAAGUGGAAUUCCUAGUGUAGCGGUGAAAUGCGUAGAUAUUAGGAAGAACACCAGUGGCGAAGGCGACUUUCUGGACGAAAACUGACGCUGAGGCGCGAAAGCCAGGGGAGCGAACGGG
rnacentral:rRNA from 1 species